UGGGGAAUAUUGGACAAUGGGCGCAAGCCUGAUCCAGCAAUGCCGCGUGUGUGAAGAAGGCCUGUGGGUUGUAAAGCACUUUCAGGGGGGAGGAAAGGUCCGCAAGGAUUUUGACGUUACCCCCAGAAGAAGCACCGGCUAACUCUGUGCCAGCAGCCGCGGUAAUACAGAGGGUGCGAGCGUUAAUCGGAAUGACUGGGCGUAAAGCGCGCGUAGGCGGUUAUAUAAGUUGGGUGUGAAAUCCCUGGGCUCAACCUAGGAAUUGCAUUCAAAACUGUAUGACUUGAGUGAAGUAGAGGUGAGUGGAAUUUCCGGAGUAGCGGUGAAAUGCGUAGAUACCGGAAGGAACACCAGUGGCGAAGGCGACUCACUGGGCUUUAACUGACGCUGAGGUGCGAAA
rnacentral:rRNA from 1 species